CUUGACUACACACUACACUAGGCCGAUUCAUCAUCAUCGACAUCAUCACUAGGGCUCAGGUUUUAGGUUAUAGAAGAUAACAAGUAAAAACAGUUUUUUUCGCUGCGCUGAAGCAUUGUCGUUUUAUAAAAUUUAAAUAGGCUAGACCUCAAGACCUCCUCAAAAACCAAAGAAAAUGGCUGGAUCAUCCUCCGUCAGCUUUGUGAAGUCGUUAUAUUAUGACCCCUUUAAAUGGAGUCUGGUCAAGAGCUUUGGGUGUUUCCUUCUUGGAAUCGCAAUAGCAAAAGAGUUUAAAGGUGUUGAAGUCAUGCCAGCUAUAGUGUGAAGAUGGACUUAACCUAGCCAAUAUCUGUGAACGUAUCUUUACUUAAUUUCAGUUGCAUUAUUUUUUUAUCAGUGUUAUUAAUUUAAACAUUUUCAAUGAUUUUGUACAAUUUAAUUGGACCCCUAUAGCUAUUGAGACACCUUAAUCAUUGCAUUUAGUUUACAUAAUGGAAGCUAAUUUAUAGCAGAAUGAGUUGAUCAAAUCCAAAUGUUUAUAUUUAGUUUUUGCUAAUAUUUAGCAUAGUCUCCAAACGAGAGCCCAAGAUAUUAGUCAUUAAUUUAAUUAAAUAAAUAAUUUUUUUGUUACAUAA